rnacentral:rRNA from 1 species
UACAGAGGGUGCAAGCGUUAAUCGGAAUUACUGGGCGUAAAGCGUGCGUAGACGGUUACAUAAGUCGGGUGUGAAAGCCCCGGGCUCAACCUGGGAAUUGCAUUCGAGACUGCGUAGCUAGGGUGCGGAAGAGGGAAGCGGAAUUUCCGGUGUAGCGGUGAAAUGCGUAGAUAUUGGGAGGAACACCAGUGGCGAAGGCGGCUCACUGGACCGGUUCUGACGCUGAUGCGCGAAAGCGUGGGGAGCAAACGGG